rnacentral:rRNA from 1 species
GCGCACCAGGCGAGAAACUUUACAAUGUGCGAAAGCACGAUAAGGGAACUCUGAGUGCCUCCUAAGGAGGCUGUUCAGGUGUCUAAAAGCACCUGAAGGAGGGGCUGGGUAAGACCGGUGCCAGCCGCCGCGGCAACACCGGCAGCCCAAGUGGUAGCCACGUUUAUUGGGUCUAAAGCGUCCGUAGCCGGCUGGGUAAGUUCCUUGGGAAAUUUGGCUGCUUAACAGUCAAGCUUUCAGGGAAUACUGCCCGGCUUGGGGACCGGGAGAGGUCAGAGGUACUCCAGGGGUAGGGGUGAAAUCCAUUAAUCCUUGGGGGACCACCGGUAGCGAAGGCGUCUGACCAGACCGGGUCCGACGGUGAGGGACGAAGGCUAGGGGCGCGAACCGGAUUAGAUACCCCUGUAGU